rnacentral:rRNA from 1 species
UAAGACGAACCGUGCAAACGUUGUUCGGAAUCACUGGGCUUAAAGGGCGCGUAGGCGGUGUGUUAAGUCGGUGGUGAAAUACUUCGGCUCAACCGGAGAAUUGCCGCUGAAACUGGCACGCUAGAGGGAGGUAGAGGUGUGUGGAACUUCCGGUGGAGUGGUGAAAUACGUUGAUAUCGGAAGGAACGCCUGUGGCGAAAGCGAUACACUGGACCUCUUCUGACGCUGAGGCGCGAAAGCUAGGGUAGCGAACGG